GUGGGGAAUAUUGCACAAUGGGGGAAACCCUGAUGCAGCGACGCCGCGUGGAGGAAGAAGGUUUUCGGAUUGUAAACUCCUGUCUUCGGGGACGAUAAUGACGGUACCCGAGGAGGAAGCCACGGCUAACUACGUGCCAGCAGCCGCGGUAAAACGUAGGUGGCAAGCGUUGUCCGGAAUUACUGGGUGUAAAGGGAGCGCAGGCGGGUCGGCAAGUUGGAGGUGAAAGCUGUGGGCUCAACUCACAAACUGCCUUCAAAACUGCCGGUCUUGAGUGGUGUAGAGGUAGGCGGAAUUCCCGGUGUAGCGGUGGAAUGCGUAGAUAUCGGGAGGAACACCAGUGGCGAAGGCGGCCUACUGGGCACUAACUGACGCUGAGGCUCGAAAGCAUGGGUAGCAAACAGGAUUAGAAACCCCAGUAGUCC
rnacentral:rRNA from 1 species